UACGGAGGGGGCUAGCGUUGUUCGGAAUUACUGGGCGUAAAGCGCGCGUAGGCGGACCUGCAAGUCGGGGGUGAAAUCCUGGAGCUCAACUCCAGAACUGCCUUCGAUACUGGAAAGCUCGAGUCCGGGAGAGGUGAGUGGAACUGCGAGUGUAGAGGUGAAAUUCGUAGAUAUUCGCAAGAACACCAGUGGCGAAGGCGGCUCACUGGCCCGGUACUGACGCUGAGGUGCGAAAGCGUGGGGAGCAAAAGGG
rnacentral:rRNA from 1 species